CGGGACACGUGGUAUCCUGUCUGAAUAUGGGGGGACCAUCCUCCAAGGCUAAAUACUCCUGACUGACCGAUAGUGAACCAGUACCGUGAGGGAAAGGCGAAAAGAACCCCGGCGAGGGGAGUGAAAAAGAACCUGAAACCGUGUACGUACAAGCAGUGGGAGCCUCUUAAUGGGGUGACUGCGUACCUUUUGUAUAAUGGGUCAGCGACUUAUAUUCUGUAGCAAGGUUAACCGAAUAGGGGAGCCGAAGGGAAACCGAGUCUUAACUGGGCGUUAAGUUGCAGGGUAUAGACCCGAAACCCGGUGAUCUAGCCAUGGGCAGGUUGAAGGUUGGGUAACACUAACUGGAGGACCGAACCGACUAAUGUUGAAAAAUUAGCGGAUGACUUGUGGCUGGGGGUGAAAGGCCAAUCAAACCGGGAGAUAGCUGGUUCUCCCCGAAAGCUAUUUAGGUAGCGCCUCGUGAAUUCAUCUCCGGGGGUAGAGCACUGUUUCGGCAAGGGGGUCAUCCCGACUUACCAACCCGAUGCAAACUGCGAAUACCGGAGAAUGUUAUCACGGGAGACACACGGCGGGUGCUAACGUCCGUCGUGAAGAGGGAAACAACCCAGACCGCCAGCUA
rnacentral:rRNA from 1 species